AAUUAUCAGACUUUCUAAGCUUCCAGCCAGGAAUUGAGGCCUGAGCAUAGAAACGGAAGACGCAGAGAUUUCAGCACUCUUCCUCUGGAAAACCCACUCAGGAGAACUUUUGUCCUAUAACGUUUUAGUCUGGAAGUCUUUCUCCACACUCUGCUCUCUCUUAUCUGCACAGCUUAACUAGUCUGCAGAUGAGCUACAUCAAAAACAAUAACAGCUAAUGUGGCUGAGAGAAUGCAGUCGUCUGAAAUAGUAUGAAAACAGAGGAAAUAGAAGAGGUUGUUUAUGGCCCAUUCUUGCCCAACUGAUCACUGCAAUAAACAGACACAUUUUUUUCGCUUUCCUCUUAAAUAUUCUUCCACAAACACUAUUUGCCAUGAUCGAUCAACAUCUAAUAUUAAGUGGGAGGAGAGCGGUUGCUUGUUGCUCCCAACUGUCUUGAUUUCAAAGCCUGUGCAGGUCAAUCGGCUUUAAUGCUGCGUUCAUUCUCACGUGGGGUUUCCAUGACCAUUUGCUCCUUAGAGUUUAGCUAAUCAAGAGGUAGCUAGGUUCACAUCGGUAAUGGAAGAAAGGCUCCACUGAAUCUUUUUAGUCUAUUAUAUGUCUAUGCUAUUUAUUUUUAAUUGUACUAAGGCUAUUCGAAGAGCUGGGAAUUACCUUUUUGAGGAUCCCAUAAUUUUAAAAGCCGAUGUUUGGAAUGUAGCCCCUCCUCUCUUUUCCUGACCUUUAUCUCUAUCAACUCACCCAAAUUAGAAGCUAAGAAUCAUCCAGGGAGCCAGCUGUAUAAGGAGCAGAUGCGAAGGAGGAUGCUCACUGACGUGAGCCGGGUUAUACCCAACACCCAAUCCCACUGGAUUCAAGGGUGUAGGUGGCAGGGGACGUGGCGAUCCUCUAGGGUAUGGGGCCUUUUCCCGAAGUACAGGACUAAAUUACUUGCAGGGAGAGUAAUUAACAUUAACUAUCCCUUAAGAAAAUGAAUAAGGACAUUUUUACUUCCCAAAGGUCUGCUGAGUGCUUUGAUAUGAUAAUAUACACAGAAAAAUGUUAGAAAGAACACAGAACCCCCCAAAAGAAUUAUGUACAUACCCCCUGAGAGGUCACCAUUUUCUAGGGCCCUGUUUAGUGCUCAAAAAUCCCCCUCACUGAUGUUCAAAACAGCCUUUAGAAAUACAACCUCACCACUAAAAAGAUGCAGAGACAAAGGGAAUUGCAGAUCAAAUGAUUUAUGUGAAAUCGUAUAGCAAAUGGAAGGUGACAUUCGAUCUGAAUCUGAAUAUCUCUGGCUCCACAUUUUAUUUACUUAACCAAGAUUUAAAAAUGAAGUGUGUCCAGGAGUUCCCGCUGUGGUGCAGUGGGUUAAGAAUUUGACUGUAGCAGCUCAGUUCGCUGCAGAGGGGCAGAUGUGAUCCCUGAUCCGGCACCGGUGGGUUCAAGGAUGUGGCCUUGCUGCAGCUGUGGUAUAGGUUGAAGCUGUGACUCAUAUUUAAUCUCUAGCCCGGGAACGUCCAUAUGCAGUGGGUGUGGCCACAAAAUUAAAAUAACAUUUUAAAAAAAGUGGCGUAUGACUGAGGUAAAGUGGAUACGCUUUCUUAUACAAAGUGUUACGUUCUGUCUGUUACAGGGGACCAUGUCCAAAGUGACAACAGGACCCUUUGUAAUCUGGUCUCUGUGACUCUUUUGGCAUCAUUUACUGCUACACAGCAGAAAAAAAAGGGCUCUGACAAGAUUCUGUUUCAUGUUUUUGCUUUGCCCUCUAAUACUUUCCCCAUUUCUCUCACCCAUGUCCUCUCAUUUCCCACUCAUUUUUAAAUUACGUUUAUGCUUUAUAUUUCUAGAUAAUCCGGAUGCUUCUGUCCUCUCAUUUAUCACAUCAGCAAAUAUUUUUAAAUGGCUAUGGCUAUAGCAUGCGGCCACACAGGCCAUCAUCUCUGUAAUCCUGGGGACAGCAAUCUCACAGGCUCUGACACCAAUGGUUUCUGGGUCAGAGAGGCCAUUUUUUGGCUCAUUUACGUAACAGAGCACUCCAGGCUUGCACUUGUGCUACCAAAGAGAGCUCCUAUGACCAAGCUGCUGGUCUCACUUGGAAUUCCUAUUCACGAUAUCAAGUGAGCCCCUCGUAUCACGAAUAAUUCCAAAGUCUCUUCCUGUCUCAGUUUCCUUAAAAUUAAUUUAGAUGUGCUCUCAAUGAAAGCCUCUGCCACUCUUCCCCCAAGCCCACCCUUAGACGAAACCUAGAUUCCAAUUUCACUGACAAAAAAGAAGCCAGAGAGGAUCCCAUCGACAUGUCUGCCCACCCAUCUGCCUCUGAGGCCAAGCGUUACUGCUGACUGUCUGCUGCUAUGAAUGACCUGUCUUGGUCCUUGGACCUGUGUGUGAUGCAGCCUACCCUGUCUUGCAAACCAACUGCUGUGCUCUGGACAUUUCGUGCGCUUUCUCUUGGGUAAUCCUCACUGUCCUUCUGUGGUUUCAUAGUGGAUGCAUGAUAUCUAGGUAAGGUAAGCUUUAAAACCGAUCUGUCUUUGACCCAAAGAAAGUGAGAAUUUGGGACAUGGGGCAGUGGUAAACACCAGGCUAUUCACAAAGAGCACGAGAGGAAGAGAUAUGUGGGGUCACACAGACUGGGGUCUGUCUUGAUGAGGAACUCAAGGACACACUUCCCAGCUCGAAUGGGAAGGGUAGGUGAGCAGGACAAGGCAGGUGGGACGGCAGAUGCGGGACGUCUCCUGUCCUGGGUUUCCAAGGAGGAGAAAGGCGGCUGGGUGAAAACCAAAUGGGCUGUGUUAAGAGCCAACACCGAGGGAGUUACGUGUCCUUCUCCACUCUGAGCCCAACGCUAUUUUAAAAUAUGCAAGUGUAUAGAACUAGAAAGUAACUUCAGUCAUGGGAUAAAAACACUGAGCCGUAGCUCCCAGUCAACCUGCACUAAAAAGGGCAACCAACCUGCACACUCACAAAACCAUUCUAUUUCCCACUUUCUGUACAGUAGUCAAUAAAUUUCAGGAAAUAGUCGACACUCAAUUAUAAAAUGGGCUUUUUGUGUUAGAUGAUUUUGCCCAACUUUAGGCCAAUGUAAUCGUUCUGAGAACACUGAAGGGAGGCGAGGCCACGCGGUGGUGUUCAGUAGGUUGGAUGUAUUAAAUGCCUUUUUGACGUUUGCUAUCUUUACCUUACUGGUGAGUUUAUCAGGAUGCAACCCAUUGUAAAUUGAGGAAGAUCUGUACAGGGUUUCAGACCAAUUACGAUAACUAGCCAUGGAUCACGCAUCUCAGUUUUGAGAGACAGUAACCUGAACCCAGGAGAGAAGAAACAGCAAAAUCUCCAAUUAUGUGUUUGUGUGUGUGUGUGAUUGUCACAUAGUUUUCUGUUUCUACAUUGUUUUAAGAGCAUUUAGAACAUUAUCUAUAUUAAGUAAGUUCUCUUGAUGUGUUUGAUAAACAGAUCAAUAAACCACUAUGAGUAAUACAGGGCAUUUCAGUGCACUGAUUCAGCAUUGCUUUUACAGAUUUAUAAACUUCUAGAAUCUCUAAGAAAUGGAAUAAAAGAUAUCUUCUUCAUAUUUUUUCUUUUCUUGUUGAUGGAGACAAAAUAGCUGGUUAUACAUUCCGUUACAGUCGUCCUUGAGAAAUAGAUGGCAGCACGCCAAGAUUAAAGCGUAUGUCUAAUUCUCUUGCCUUUGUUUCUAAGCUUUUUGUAAAGCUGCUCGUGCUAUUAAUAUAUUUUUUCCUGUGGGAAAGGUACCGAACCUCUAGAACGACUGGAUUCUGUUUCCCUUAUUCUUCUCUGACUUCAGACUAAGAGAUCCAUCUGCAUUUCUCAUGAGGAGGAGCAGAUUUCUCUCUUGUGUGAGGAAAGAGAGCAGUGAAAUUCCCUUGGUUCUUACUAUUUCAGACCUAUUGAAUCUCAUAGGAAACCACCGAGCCCAGAAAGAAAAUUGAGAAAAGUCGUCUUAAAGGACAAAACAAAGUCCAUUGUCUUAUAUCCUAAAAUACCGAUGAUUCAUGAUGUUAUAGCUCCACUAUCAUGAGCUACAUGCAGCGAGGCUUUUCCAAGUUUUGUCUGUCCUCAAAAGGAUACAGAAUUUUGCUGUAAUGAGUCCAAGGACUUUACCAGCAUUUGUGAAGCCCAGUCUAAGCAUCAUGAUCGUUCUUCUACCAAAAGCUCUGUAACGCAUACAGUUGAUGUAUUUCUUCAGGAAACCUCCAGUGUCCAGCGUCCAGAGACUAUCAUGCCUAAGAGUUUCUCACCUACUAAACUAACCUUACCUGCUAGUGGAAGCACUGAGUUCCUACUACGCAAAACAGUGUCUGGGGCUGGUACUGUGACCCACGUGCCUUAUUAUUUUCUCUGCCUGGAACGCACUCGGCAUUCAGAGAGCUGGAAAACAGCUGCCUGCCCACUUGUUUUCCUAUGGGCGGAAAGGCUGAAAAGGGCCAGCUAAAGAGACAGCGUCUUAGGGGAGUACAUGGCAAUAGACAAAAACCUUCUGAUGUCAAGUCCCCUCUGGGGCUUCUGAUCUCCUUUGCUUGGUGUCCAGGCCGUGGAAAAUACCCGACACAACAAAGAUCUGUGCUUGGGACUCACACAGGAAGAACCUCUGAGCAUCAGGGAAAACAGCUGUUUCAGGCACAUACAGAACAAACAGAGCAGAAGUACUGGAUCCACUCACAGACGAUUAUCAAGGGACCAUUUACGCCGAAUCCACAGCCCAGGACUUCCUAACCCACAUACAUAAUACAUCACUAGUAUAAAGCUUAAAAUUGCAACUCAAGCAUUGAUGCCUUAUUGACAGAAAUAAGGCAGCAACUAUUCCUACUGCAUAAAUCACACAUUUCCCAACACCACACUUGCAAGAGAAAAAAGAAGGGAGCCUUCUGGGAUGAUAAGAUGCCUUUUAUUAUGACUGCAGAGCGGGCUACGUGGGCUAUGCAUGUGUUCAACUUUCUUAACUGUUCAUUUAAGGCUUGUUCAUUUCACUGCAUGUCAUUGGACUUCAGAAAAAUGAAUGCAUAAGAAAUGCAAUAGUCUAAAAUUUCUUAAAAAUGCAGCAAGACAGUGGUUUCCUAAUGACGGAUGUAACACACUUACAUUAUCUGAGAAGAAGAAGAAACGAUUGAGAAAGGGCAUCCCUGGAGUUGAUCUGGGACAAUAAAUGUAAACGUCGAAUGGCUCAAGAAGAUGCAGGUGGAUGGGGCACGGAAAUAGAAAUUUCAGCAUUUUUUCAGCUGGUCUUUCUUUUUUUCAUCAUGUAAUUGCCGCCUGAGUGAAUUUACCCAUAGAGACCUCGCCAUGACCAUCACUUUAUAUGUUAAAGAUAUGUGAAUAUUCACCUUAGCUGAGAUGUUCUCCCUCAGAACCUACACAAUUUAAUGCUCUACAUGACUUUCUAGCCUACCAUGUCCAAGGUACUGUCAUUAACGUAGCCCUCAAAUUACCCCUUUCCCGAAUUCCUUACAACAAGACAAUAGUGCCAAAGAUGUAGAGUAUUCCAAAACAGAAAAACACCCUACCUUCAGGCAAAGUCUACAGUAACUGAUAACUGGUAUACAGACUCCUUUUUGGAUGGCCUCCAAGAAAAGAAAUAUUUCAUGGUUCUCAGAUGAUAUUUUUUUUUUUUAAAGAAGAGAAAUGCCUAGCUGGGAGAUUGGAGAAAUCAGAAGAAAAUGAACAAAGAAGGAAGAUAGUCCUAGAUAUUCAGACAAUAAAACGGGGCAGCAUUUAGACUCUGUGGAUAAAAGAUUCCAAGUUUUGUGUCUUGAUAGUGGUUCCAAGUCAGCUGCUCAAAGAGGAAGACUACCUGCACAGAGAAACCUGGUAGGUUGAUAGUUUUUCCUACUAAAUACCAAAUCUGGAACAUGUGAACUACAUUUCAGCUGUCAACAGAAUCCAGCGUAUUAUUUUAGUUUAUAAAAUAUCCCAACUCUAUUAAAACUAAAAACUACUGAUGCUCUAACAUCAAUGUUGGUGCCUUCACAAAAAUUCAUGUUUAUGAGUUUAUUAAUUUAUUUUUGUUUUUGUUUGUUUCCCGUGAGGAGAACUCCUUUCUUAAUUUGUUUAGUCUUUGUGUAUUAUUAAUCCUAUUCAUUUCUCUCAAGCCCUUAAUUUGAUAUAAUCAGACUAGAGGUACAAUAUCUAUUAGCUGUUCUAAAAAAAAAAAAUCACAGCCACAUAGAUGACUCAAGAUUCUUUCAAAUUGCCUAAACUGUAAAAUUCAGUAUUUAGAUCUCAGAUAACUUCCCUUUUUUUUGGGGGGGGGGAUGCACUGCAGGAGGAGGUAUCUCACUUAAAAGUUUUUCUUCCUUCUACCUACGGAUCAUUCCCAAUUGUACCUACCUCCAAAAGCUACAUAGUUAGAGUGAUAUUAACAACCUCAUCACCAACAUUUACCAAAUGAAACAGCUAAAAUAAGUUGUUGAGGUAGAAUCCUGAGAUACUGUAGACAUAUGGUGAGUAAUUUGCAGAUGGAAAAUGCAAUUCAGGUUAUGGGA
rnacentral:lncRNA from 1 species